UUUAACGUUUUCAUGUCUAUAAACUCUUCAAAAGCAAAUUAGCCUUCAAAGAUGACCAUGCCUAUUACGCUGUUAAAACUUGUGAAUGUAUUGAGCCAUCACUGGACUAUUGGAAUAUCCACACCGAUUCCCAAGGCAACAUCAUGAAAUAGCAAGUCAUACUUGGGUACAUUCUGAGAUGGAUUGAAGAACAGGGCUGUUAGGACCUGCUACAUUGGUAACAAUGUAGGAAGAGCUAAGAGAAAAGGUAGGAGAGCACAGCAACAUUAGAAUUAGCAAGGUGACAACAAUCAUAAGGAAAAUAUUGGACAUUUGAACAAUACAGAUAACUAUUUCAUAAUGCACAGUUUUCAACUAUUUAUUAUUGUAAACAGACAGGAUUUCCUGUUUAGGGAAGGACAUAUUCAU
rnacentral:lncRNA from 1 species